AAAAAUUGGGUGAGAUGUGGUCUG
rnacentral:piRNA from 1 species